UACGAAGGGGGCUAGCGUUGCUCGGAAUCACUGGGCGUAACGGGCGCGUAGGCGGAUCUUUAAGUCGGGGGUGAAAGCCCAGGGCUCAACCCUGGAAUUGCCUUCGAUACUGAAGAUCUCGAGACCGGAAGAGGUAAGUGGAACUGCGAGUGUAGAGGUGAAAUUCGUAGAUAUUCGCAAGAACACCAGUGGCGAAGGCGGCUAACUGGUCCGGUUCUGACGCUGAGGCGCGAAAGCGUGGGGAGCAAACAGG
rnacentral:rRNA from 1 species